rnacentral:rRNA from 1 species
GAUGAACGCUGGCGGCGUGCUUAACACAUGCAAGUCGAACGAAACACCUUAUUUGAUUUUCUUCGGAACUGAGGAUUUGGUGAUUGAGUGGCGGACGGGUGAGUAACGCGUGGGUAACCUGCCCUGUACAGGGGGAUAACAGUCAGAAAUGACUGCUAAUACCGCAUAAGACCACAGCACCGCAUGGGGCAGGGGUAACAACUCCGGUGGUACAGGAUGGACCCGCGUCGGAUUAGCUGGUUGGGGAGGUAACGGGUCACCAUGGCGACGAUCCGUAGCCGGGUUGAGAGAGUGAACGGCCACAUUGGGACUGAGACACAGCCCAAACUCCUACGGGAGGCAGCAGUGGGGAAUAGUGCACAAUGGGGGAAACCCUGAUGCAGCGACGCCGCGUGAGUGAAGAAGUAUUGCGGUAUGUAAAGCGCUAUCAGCAGGGAAGAAAAUGACGGUACCUGACUAAGAAGCCCCGGCUAACUACGUG